rnacentral:rRNA from 1 species
CCUACGGGUGACAGCAGUGAGGAAUAUUGGUCAAUGGCCGGAAGGCUGAACCAGCCAAGCCGCGUGAAGGACGAAGGUGCCAAGCAUUGUAAACUUCUUUUGUCAAGGGACAAAAUCAGGCUCGAGAGCCUGACCGAGGGUACUUGAAGAAAAAGCAUCGGCUAACUCCGUGCCAGCAGCCGCGGUAAUACGGAGGAUGCGAGCGUUAUCCGGAUUUAUGGGGUUUAAAGGGUGCGUAGGCGGACUGUUAAGUCAGCGGUAAAAGCCCGGGGCUAAACCCCGGCGAGCCGUUGAAACUGGGUGUCUUGAGAUGUCGAGAGGUAUGCGGAAUGCGCAGUGUAGCGGUGAAAUGCUUAGAUAUUGCGCAGAACUCCGAUUGCGAAGGCAGCAUACCGGCGGCGAUCUGACGCUGAGGCACGAAAGCGUGGGUAUCGAACAGGAUUAGAUACCCCUGUAGUC